rnacentral:lncRNA from 1 species
GAAACCAGAAGCAAAGCAAGCUUCCUCUCUUCCCUUUUUGCUGACUCUUCUAUAAUAGCCGUAACCCAACAGCUGGAUAAAAACCACCAACAAUAUUGCAAAAUUCAAAUGAUCAGGUUCAAGCGCUCUGCAUCUUGUAUUCAAUGGCUAAACACCACUAUUAAAACAUAGCCUGCAAGUCUCUCCACACAAACUCCAACUAUCGCCAAAUCCACUUUCAUAUCCAUGUAGUCAUUGCUAAUACUUAGCAAAAGCACUGACUAUCACAGACUACAGCAUGCCUUGCUGUAGCUCUGAUCCCCAGCUCCAGUUCCUAUACGCCAUUCUCUCUUUUUUCACUGCAGUCCCUUUGCUUUCUCAUCCAUUGCAUUUCCAGUGCUAUUUCAUGCUCUCUCCGUAUAUGUGCGGGGAUGUUUGUGUAUGUACAUGUGGUUACAUGUGCAAAUGCAUGCUGCAUAUAUACGCAUGCGCAAGCAUGAAUACAUUCGGAUGCAUGCAUUUAUAGAUAGCCCAUUUGUGCACUUCUGUAAUUACAAUAUAAAUGUGUAUGUGCUUACACAUGCUUGAUGAAAAUCUUGAAUGUAAAUCUCAAGACUAAAUUGUGUUGGCCAGAAUUUGGAGAGCCGUGGGAGGAACUGCAUGGGACACGAGUCACCGUUAUCUCUGUCCAAGGCUGACCGCUUUCAUUUGUCAGAGGUUUAUCUCCCCAGAGCAUGCAGGAGGCUCUUCUUUCUGAAACUGUCUGGAGCUAACAGAAAAAUGGCAUACGGUAAACCAGACUGGCUGAGCAGAGCUGGAGACAGCGGUGGGAAAGGGAAACAGUUGUUGGGAAAAUUCAGCAGGCACCGGCUUCCUCCACCGUCAAGACGAGGAUCAUUCGGCACCAAGAAGACCAAGGAACUCUGCCACCCCACACAUGCCUGGGCACUGAGCACGGGGUCUCCUCGAGACCCAUCUUUAAAGAGGGUUGUCUCUAGGUGACCCUGUCCACUGACACAACCAGCACUUUGGACAAGCGUGGAAAGGUCCGAGCAGCCUGACACGGGCUGGCUACACAAAGCAGCAACCGUCCGUCAGGCUUGCAUGGGGAUUUGCAGCCAAACAGGGAGGUAGCUCAGUCCAUCUUGGUUGAACUCCCUCAUGUUUUGCUUUCAGAGUCCUUAGUGCAGGGAGGACAAGCUGGGCAAAGGCUAAUUGGUCUUUUUCUGCAGAAAGAAAAUAAAGG